GCAGUUUUGGUGCUUAAAGAGCUUGUUUCAUCGGAUCAAAAUAAACUGCAGGUUUUAUCAGCAAUUGAUGGAGCCACAGAAGGAUUAUUUGAGCUGAUUAAGGAACCCAUUUGCCCGACAGCAACAAAAGCUUCUCUAGUGACCAUUUAUCACAUGGUCACAACAACACCUACAAAUGUGAAGGCCAUUGCCAAAUUUGUAGAUAUGGGUUUGGUCUCAUUACUGAUAGAGAUGCUCGUAGAUAGCGAAAGAAGCAUAUGUGAGAAAUCGUUGGGCGUUCUCGACGGAAUCUGUAGCUGUGAUCAAGGGAGAGAAGAGGCGAAUGAUCAUUCUUUAACUGUCCCAGUUCUAGUCAAGAAAAUACAUAGAGUUUCAGACAUGGCAACGGAGUUCUCAGUCUCCGUUUUAUGGAAGAUUUGCAAGGCUGAAAAGAGGCAAGAAGGAG
rnacentral:misc_RNA from 1 species